rnacentral:sRNA from 1 species
ACUCAACGUUAAUUCUUUAAAAAGGGUGAGUUGAAGUUGUAAAAGCGUGCUGCCUCGAGCAGAUACUUGAUCAGCUUGUUAGCCCUAAACUUGUUUUUAAGGAGUUU